rnacentral:rRNA from 1 species
GCGUACGGGUGCGGAACACGUGUGCAACCUGCCUUUAUCAGGGGGAUAGCCUUUCGAAAGGAAGAUUAAUACCCCAUAAUAUAUUGAAUGGCAUCAUUCGAUAUUGAAAACUCCGGUGGAUAGAGAUGGGCACCGCGGCAAGAUUAGAUUAGUAGGUGAAGUAACGGCUCACCAAGUUCUGCGAUCUUUAGGGGGCCUGAGAGGGUGAUCCCCCACACUGGUACUGAGACACGAACCAGACUCCUACGGGAGGCAGCAGUGAGGAAUAUUGGACAAUGGGUGCGAGCCUGAUCCCAGCCAUCCCGCGUGAAGGACGACGGCCCUAUGGGUUGUAAACUUCUUUUGUUAUAGGGAUAAACCUACUCUCGUGAGAGUAGCUGAAAGGUACUAUACGAAUAAGCACCGGCUAACUCCGUGCCAGCAGCCGCGGUAAUACGGAGGGUGCAAGCGUUAUCCGGGAUUUAUUGGGUUUAAAGGGUCCGUAGGCGGAUCUGUAAGUCAGUGGUGAAAUCUCACAGCUUAACUGUGAAACUGCCAUUGAUACUGCAGGUCUUGAGUGUUGUUGAAGUAGCUGGAAUAAGUAGUGUAGCGGUGAAAUGCAUAGAUAUUACUUAGAACACCAAUUGCGAAGGCAGGUUACUAAGCAACAACUGACGCUGAUGGACGAAAGCGUGGGGAGCGAACAGGAUUAGAUACCCUGGUAGUCCACGCCGUAAACGAUGCUAACUCGUUUUUGGAUUUUCGGAUUCAGAGACUAAGCGAAAGUGAUAAGUUAGCCACCUGGGGAGUACGUUCGCAAGAAUGAAACUCAAAGGAAUUGACGGGGGCCCGCACAAGCGGUGGAUUAUGUGGUUUAAUUCGAUGAUACGCGAGGAACCUUACCAAGGCUUAAAUGGGAAAUGACAGGUUUAGAAAUAGACUUUUCUUCGGACAUUUUUCAAGGUGCUGCAUGGUUGUCGUCAGCUCGUGCCGUGAGGUGUUAGGUUAAGUCCUGCAACGAGCGCAACCCCUGUCACUAGUUGCCAUCAUUAAGUUGGGGACUCUAGUGAGACUGCCUACGCAAGUAGAGGAGGAAGGUGGGGAAUGACGUCAAAUCAUUCACGGCCCUUACGCCUUGGGCCACACACGUAAUUACAAUGGCAGGUACAGAGAGCAGCUACACAGCGAUUGUGAUGCAAAUCUCGAAAGCAGGUCUCCAGUUCGGAUUGGAGAGCUGCAACUCGACUCUAUGAAGCUGGAAUCGCUAGUAAUCGCGCAUCAGCCAUGGCGCGGUGAAUACGUUCCCGGGCCUUGUACACACCGCCCGUCAAGCCAUGG